UACAUGUUGCUUUGGCAACCGUAUGCCUGUUUAUUGGUUCUCAGGCCCUUGGAGGAACAUAAAUUACUGCUAUUGCGUAAGGGUAGUAUGUGCACAGUCGGACCCGAAUCAGAUUAUACCCUUGACAAAGGUCUGAGACCAAAACAUUGGGACAGUAUUACACAAGAAUGUACCGGAUAUAAUAAAGAAUCUUGGUUAUUUGAAAAA